rnacentral:rRNA from 1 species
AUGGAAAAUAAUUAACUAAUACAGAAAUCGAAGAUGCCACUGAAAGUUAAGGUUUUCAUAUUGUAUCUUCAGAGAGGAGUUGUGCUAACUAAAGAUAAUCUCGCUAGACGCAACUGGCAAGGAAGAAAGAAGUGUAGCUUUUGAACUCAUGACGAGACAAUCAAAGACCUCUUCUUUCAAUGCAAGUUUGCGUGUUCUACAUGGUCCGUCAUCCAAAUAGCGUCAAUUUUGUAUCCACCCCAAGUGUUACCAAUAUAUACAGUCAUUGGCUUCAUGGAAUACCAAAUACGAUUAGGACGCUAUUUUGGGUGA